CUCUGGAGUUGGAUGGGAACCCCAUAAAGUCGAUGGUUCUUGCCGGAGAAAAGCCAUUUCACCGUUAACCAGUAUUCCGCUAACAGUGAAGUUGAAUUUCGCUGGUGUUUCUCACAAGUAAUUGAGCUCAUUCAAUUGCGGGGGAGAUAUGGGAAGCCAAGAUACCGUUAAACAUCUCGAGGAGUGUUCAGUGUCAAAGUAAGCUGUCACCUCCUACCUUUUCUUAUAUAUUGUUAUCAUCUCUGAUGCGUUUUCUCCUUUUUCAAUUGUUGAAAACCGGAUUAUCUGCUUCUUGAAGGGGAAAAAAAAAAAAAAAAGGAACUUUAAAAUGUUUAUAUGGCCAUGAUUUAAACUUUGGUAAAACAACCUAGCUGUUCUCGUUAUCUAUUUUAGCUAUUUCUAAGGUUAUUUGGCUAAGAUGACAAACAAUCUUAUGAAGUUUUAGAGUUUGAAAUCUAAACUAGAUUGUUUUGUCAUUGUAAUCUUGCAUUCCGCUCAUUCGAGCAUAGUGUUUUGUUCAUUUGACCAAUGUUUAUAGGCACCCUCGAGGCUUCGCCUCUUGAAGAGACAAGAAGCAAGACGCAAGCCUUGAGGUACUAUAAAGUAGAACGAUGCAAAUUAAUAUCAUUUUACGAGGUAUGGAGACUUCAAGCCUCUCAUGGUCCAAAAAAGGGUGAGUUAGAGUCCCCAGCCUCAAAUUAUAAACCUCAAUAGCCUUUAAGCGUUGAUUUUGGGUUGAUUCUUACUUGUCAUUGAACAUUCACACAGUGCGUUGGGAACUUGGGUAUUCUCAGUAGCAGGAGCGUUGCUAGCAAUUCCAGUGGGAAUAAAGAGGAAGUCACUGGCACCCCUUGUGUUUUUUGGAACAACUGGUACAAUGCUUGAUAUCAUAAUGGGAAUUAGUGCCUGUGAGAGAGAACAUGCUGAGCGUCAAAUGAAGCUAUUAGAAGAAGCCCAAAACUCUGCACCCGAACCCUCGGUUGCUGAAUCCCAAUCCCAUUCUUGACAUUGUGCUUACACGUUUGUGUCACCUUUGUGGCAUGGCCUGCCCUGCCCUUGGCUGAUUUCUUCAGCCUUCUUUCAAAACCCAGGAACAUUUCUGCCUUCACUUUAUUGUUUAGCAAUAAAAUUAUACUUUAGACCAAAAUUCUCUUGUUCAUGAAGGACAUUGAGAAUUUAGUUUCAUUGUUCCCUUGAAGAAAUCGUUCACAGUUUCAUUGAUUUUUCAACAAAUUUAAAUCCUGAAGGCUUAUCUUUCCCUAAGAAUCCCAGUUUGCAGCAUAUGUGAAAUUUCAGGAUAAUUGCUUCACAUGAAGUUUGGCCUUGAAGGACAAAAAAAA